rnacentral:rRNA from 1 species
UCCCCGCACACACUGUGCGUGCGGGGGGGACACGCCGUACCGAUGAAGAAUGUAGCGAAAUGCGAUACUUAGUUUGAAUUGCAGAAUCCCGUGAAUCAUCGAGUCUUUGAACGUAAGUUGCGCCCGAGGCCUCGGCCGAGGGCACAUUUGCCUGGGCGUUGCAC